GGUUUUUCCAAAAUAAAAAAUUGUAAUCGAAUCUUGCUUGACAUUCUUUACACCCACUCGUUCGCAUCCAGACUUGAUCAGCAGUGGCCCGGAAAUCAGGCAUGGGGCUUGGGCGUCUCCACUCACCUCCUCUGGACCACUACAGGGCCAUCCUGCUGGCACCCAUGAACCAGAAGGCUGAUCUUGACUGGUGCUGGGGCUCGAACUCAGGCCCUCAAGCUUACACGGCAAGCACUUUAUGGACGAAGCUGUUUCCCCAGCACUGAGUCUUAUUGACUCAGCCUCAAACCUACCUCGACACACUCGGCUUUGGGAUGUGGUCCCCCUGGGACUCGCUAAGGCACAUUUAACCUUGAGGUGCUAUCAGCAGAAGCACCAGACAGCACCGAAAGGCACAUGCCACCAGGAUGAACGUGCCACCAUGACGAACGUGCCACCAUGAUGAACGUGCCACCAUGAGGAUGGAUCUUCACAGCAGAGUUCACUCUAUUUUUAGCCACCAGCAACAGUGAAUGGCUUUCCUUCCCAUACUACCUAUCCUCAGAACUUUACUGAAGACCCUUUAUGGUUCUUCUGUGAUCAUUUAACCAAGUCUUUCUACUAAAUUCUACCUGUUAAAGUA